AUGAACGCUGGCGGCGUGCCUAAUACCUGCAAGUCGCGCGAACGGACGAGAAGCUUGCUUCUCUGAUGUUAGCGGCGGACGGGUGAGUAACACGUGGAUAACCUACCUAUAAGACUGGGAUAACUUCGGGAAACCGGAGCUAAUACCGGAUAAUAUUUUGAACCGCAUGGUUCAAAAGUGAAAGACGGUCUUGCUGUCACUUAUAGAUGGAUCCGCGCUGCAUUAGCUAGUUGGUAAGGUAACGGCUUACCAAGGCAACGAUGCAUAGCCGACCUGAGAGGGUGAUCGGCCACACUGGAACUGAGACACGGUCCAGACUCCUACGGGAGGCAGCAGUAGGGAAUCUUCCGCAAUGGGCGAAAGCCUGACGGAGCAACGCCGCGUGAGUGAUGAAGGUCCUCGGAUCGUAAAACUCUGUUAUUAGGGAAGAACAUAUGUGUAAGUAACUGUGCACAUCUUGACGGUACCUAAUCAGAAAGCCACGGCUAACUACGUG
rnacentral:rRNA from 1 species